GGUGAAUCCCUCAGGAUCCACAUUCCAUGGGGUGAAUCCCUCAGGAACUGCCCCAGGUAGGAAUUCCAUGGGAUCAGUCCCUCAGGAACUGCUCCAGGUGCCCAUUCCAUGGGGUGAAUCCCUCAGGAUCCGCUCCAGGUCCACAUUCCAUGGGUUGAAUCCCUCAGGAACUGCUCCAGGUGCCCAUUCCAUGGGGUGAAUCCCUCAGGA